GCCGACAGCCUGAGGGUAGAGCCGCUGGGCCACGACGACAACGGUGCCACCUACUGGUAUUUUUAUGGAACUCGCCUCUACAAAGAGAGCGCUGAGGACAAGGGCCGCGCGCGCCAGCCCGGCUGGCGGUGCGUCUGCUUCACGGCCGACGACUGGCGCCAGCUGGCCGACUCGUACAGCCGCUCGCGCUCGCCGCUCGAGCUCGAGCUCUACCACACGCUGAAGGAGGACUUCCUGCCCGAGAUACCGCGCCUCUUCGCGCAAAAACAGAAGCUGCAGAAGAAGCGUCAGCUGGAGAUGGGGCCGCGCCGCCAGUCGUCCCGGG